rnacentral:rRNA from 1 species
UACGUAGGGGGCAAGCGUUGUCCGGAAUUAUUGGGCGUAAAGAGCGCGUAGGCGGUCCGGUAAGUCGGCUGUGAAAGUCAAGGGCUCAACCCUUGAAAGCCGGCCGAUACUGUCGGACUAGAGACCGGAAGAGGCGAGUGGAAUUCCUGGUGUAGCGGUGAAAUGCGCAGAUAUCAGGAGGAACACCGGUGGCGAAGGCGGAUCUCUGGGCCGAUACUGACGCUGAGGAGCGAAAGCGUGGGGAGCGAACAGG